CGGUCACGUUACUAACUUAACUCUUUAAUUAUUUUUAUAAUUAUUUUCCUUCGCUCUCCCAUUUAAAUUCUCUAAUUCCUCGUAUAGGACCACUGACGUGACGUCAUACCUCGGUGAUGGAACAUACUCCACCUAUCGAGAAUUAUUUCGCGUUCGGUGAGUUUGACGUCGUACUCUUGGAAGGAGAGACGAAUGUUCAUCACUUGACCUGUGGCUGUAGGUGAAGUUGGUUGCUACCAUAGAAUAUUAGAAUGGCGGUUGGUUUUUUAUUUUAUAACAUCAGUGAAAAGGAAAAAAAUUACCACAAAUGGUUUUCUACAGUAGGGUGGCAUGUGGGUAGAACAACCCCUCUUGGAAUCGGAAUAGAAAUCACCGCCAUUUUGGAGUAACCACAUGGUGAACUCAUAGCCCUUUGACACCUAGGGAAACCACUACAGCCACAGUCAAGUCACCUUGGGAAUAUGUCUAAUUGGGAGCAAGCUAUGGGAGCGUUCCAGCUCAAUUUUCGUCUUGGCACCUGGGCCUACAGGAGUCAUGGGGUCGCACCAUCCUGGUGCAUCAUUUUCUAGGAUGCAACCGCAACCUCGUUUGGGAACAUUUAGUGAGGUGUUUUAGUAACUAUUGGUUUUUUUUAUAUUUCAGACUAUCUGUUAAAUACACUAUGUUUUUUUUCCAGAUUUAGGUUACCUCUGGUUUUUUUGACAUAUUUGUAUAUUAGAUUAUUUGGUUCCCAAACUUUGUAUCUACGGUAACUUCUUGUGCACAGGAAUAAGCCUAGAGAAAAUUAGGUUUUUAAUACUUUAUUAUUGGUUUAUGUAAUUCGGGUAAAUUUAUUUUUUAAUAUUACUAGCUUGUUUCCCAAAUAUUUUACUGUUAUUCGCUUUAUUCCAUUUGUUCGGUUAAUUUAGGUCAUCGUCGGUAUUUAUCUCAACUUCAUUUCUACUUUAGUCAAUUGUAUAUUUAACUUUAUUUAUUCAUUACUGUAUUUUCCCUUAGUGAGGCUUGGGCCUAUUUAUUUGUAGUAUUUUCAUCUUUGUCAGUUUCCUUUAGUUGUACGUAGCAGGCGUACUAUAACCAUUUGGUAGAAGACUCAUGUGAGUUGUACCCUAUAUAUAUGUAAGAGGUAUUUAAGUUUGUAACAGAUAACAUUAUUGUUGUUAUCUUUAAAAUAUAUAUAGCUUCUUGUAUAACUUAUGUCAUUUUAGAGUUACAUGAUAUAUGCUUGUCUAACUCUGAGAUUGUUAAAAAUCUAGUAGUUAUUUUAAUAAAUAUUUACUUAUUUUGUAUAUCAUUUAUUUUUAUUACUCCUUUAUGUUCAUUAUUACAGGUUUGAUAUAUUUAAUAUUUGACAGCAGUAUAAGAUACCUGGGAAAAUGAUCGAAGAUCAUUUUCAUGGCGCCCAUGAUUAGUUAGUUUUAUUUAUUUUGUUCGUUUUUAGUCAUUAUUCAUCUCCAUUCAUUUUCAGUACAUUAUUCUUAUUUUAUUAUUUCAUCUUCUAGUCAUCAUUACUAUUUAUAUAGAGCUACUGUUCUUCGACAGGCAUGCAAACGAGCCGUAUCCAUCCUUGAGUGUCAAGUUGCUCUCUUGCAUCUAUAGCUAGCCAACUCUAUUCAGUUUGCCUCUGUCUCUUCCCACUUCUACUUCUAUCCCUUCUCAUUCCCCUUUCUUCAGUACUACUGCACUUUAGUAGUAUUUUUCCUAUUGCGGCUUCUCAACGUAGAAGCCACUACACCCACCUCUUUACACUCACCCACUCUCUCUUCCUUUUUAUUACUUUCUUUUUUUUCCUUACUUCUGUUGGAGUAUACCUUUUCUUUACACACUUACACUCCAACAGAAGUUUUCUUCUUUUUGUUACACUGGCUGCCCAAUGCGUGGUGCCAACCGUUUUAUGGUUUUAAGACAGUAGUUCUGUUAGUUCAUUUUUCUUUUAUUGGAAUUUUCUGUAUUAUUACCAUUUUCAUAUCUUUGUAUAUAUGUUACUUCUGAUUUAUUUUUGGUCUUUAAAACUUUACGAAUACUAAACAGGUAGACUUAUACUGCUUUUCUUUGUUUUCGAUUAGUUUAUUUUCGAUACCUCAUUUUUAGUUUUAGUGGUACAGCUCAUAUCUUAGUUUGGAUUUUGUAUUUUUAUUGGAAACUUAUUUGUGUAUUUAAACUGAGUAUACAUAACUGACAUUAUGUUCUAUUAGUCUAAAUUUUUAUUUCUUCUACCAAUGGUAGGAUGUUUGCACGUACAAUUAAUCGUUGACUAUAUGCAUAUAUUUUUUUCUAGUAUGGUUAUAUUUUACACCUAACUAGAAAUUAUUUUCAGGAUUUAGGUACUUUAUUUACUAUAUUGAUUUGAUUUUUAUAUAUUUUACUGGCAUUUUUGAUUUGUUGGUGUGUCGCUAAUAUUUUCUCCAUAUGUAUAUUUGUCUUACAAACUUUAGAGUAUAUUUUAUAUUUGUUAUUUUUGAUAUUUGGGUUGUUUGGUAAGACAGGCACACACCACAAAGCAAUAUCAGUCCAGAACAUUAGCUUCUAUACAUGAUACGUUGAAUUCGCAUGGUUCGGAUGAUUACAGAUGGUCAUCCAAAUUAUUUUUCUUUAAUUGGUAGUGUUAAACAUAACAAUUAUAAUUAUUGUAUGAUAAAGUAGUUCCAUUAUCCAUCUCAGUUUCUAGUUUUGUUAAUGUUGGUAAUAUUAUACCAGUGUGGGUACCAUAAUAUAAUGCUUAUAUGAAUCAGAUACUUUAGGUUGAGAUUCAAAUAUAAAUUCUUUAUUAGUUAGGAAACAUUGAUUCUAUUUUUCUAUUAAGUUAUAGAACAAUCUUCAGAAGAAGAUUACCUUAACAGUGUUGUUCAAGCUAAUCUCUUCUUCUGUUUGUCUUUAGCUUAACUCAAUCUUUAGUAUGGUUAGAAAUAUUAGUCUAAUUUUUUUUUCCAUCUGAUAAUGCAGGUACCUACAUACAUUGCUUGAUUUCAUCUUUGGCUUUGUUGUUGAUGACUUUAUUUAUGAAUUUAUUACUUAUUGGUUUAAAUAUUAUGUAGUACUUUAUGUAUGAGUUUAUUUUUUUUUGGUAUUAUACAUGAUGCAUUUUAAUUAUUAAUAUGAGUCAAUAUUGUUGAUUGCUGAUCCUGUCAGUAGGAUUACACAAUUAAUAAUAACUUCACUUGUAUUUUUGUUUAGUUUUGCACACCUAACCCCUAAGUUAGUAGGGUUGUUAACUUAUUAUGUAUUUAUAUAGUUGGAUAGGAAAGCUCAUACAAGUACUCUUGUUUAAUAUGGAUAUUAUGAUGGAACUAUGUUACACUACCAUAUCUCAGGUUAUGCGUUAUAUUAUGUUGAAUAUUUGAUUACUUACUAAUUUUUUUUAUUAUUUUUGAUAUACUGUUAUUGAAUUUGCCAUAUUCGAAAGAUGUGGUUUUUAAUUUGUUAUUGGGUUACUCUAUUAACAUUUUUCUCCAAUAUCUUAAACACUUAAUAAUUUAUAUCCUUCUAUCCUACACACUAUGAUUCUGGAAUUAGUUUGGAAUGUUGAUGUAAGUAUGUAUGAAUUCUUGAGUCUUUCAUAUUUCUGCUUAUGAUUAGUCUGUCAAUACUCUGAUUUGUGAAUGCGUGGGUUCGAAGUUGUUUCUCAGCAACUGAUCACUGCUGUUUGACUGACUUCGUAAUCUAUGUCUUUCAUGGCAGAGUAAGCAGACGUUUUACCAUUAUAAUAUUUCUUGUUAGGAAAUGAUGGUCGCAUGUCCUAACCAUUCUUCUGUAAUUAGUCGAAGUAUUCCAGUUUUUUUUACAAUUUAAUAGGGAAGUAUUUAGUUCAUAUUAGGCCUUUUACUUCAUAGUAUGUUUGUACUUUGAGUUGAUGAGUAAACAUGGAUAAAUAUCUUGCGCACUUGUUUAUAAAUCAAUGCUUAGGCCAUCCCUAUACAUAGUAGGUUCGUUAAGUCAGUAUUUGGAGUGUUUAGACAGAUGAGUUGUUCAUUUGAGUAUAUUCCCACUUCUUUCCUUAGGCAUUAGUUUUGUUAUUUAGAUUUUUGAACAUUUCCUGAAUAAUUCCACGUAUGUGAGAACGCAUGAAUUUUCAGUUUUAUUUAAAAUUGUGCUUGUUCUCGUCAAUUUUUUUUCCCUAUCACUUAUCAUAUUUUUUUUUCUUCCUAUUAUUUAUCAUAGUGCCAUAGACCUUGUAAGUUCACCAUUCAUUCUGUUUUCUUUCUUACUUAUUCUUAUAUUAGUACCUUAUCUGAGUCUGGUUAUUCUCAUACAUCUGUUGUAGCAACAUGCUAUAGUUCGCGAAUACCAGCACGAAUUAAGUUUAUGUAGUUUCUAUAAUAUCUUAGUCAAUACACUUUAGGUAUUUAUCUUACUUUUGAUUUAGUCAGGUUACAUCUCUGUUACUUAGUCUGUUAGCAAUAUUUAUUCUGACUUAUUUUGAUUACUUAGUUUGGAUAGGUUCAUAUUACCGGAUGAGGGUGUAUGUAGACCUAAUUUAUUUAUUUUGUUCAGUAUUAGUUACCAUUGGAUCCAAUAAUUUAGUAUAUUUAGUAUUAGUAAGAAUUGGUCCAUAAAUUUGCCUGAUCGUUCUUCUUUGGAUAUACUCCUAUAUAAAUCUGGUGUCCAUUGAUAGUCCGAUUCUGGAUAAGUGUCCGAUUCUUCAUUUAUUUUGUGUAUUUGGUUGGAUAGGUUCGUAUUACCGGAUGUGGGUGUACGUAGACCUGAUCUGUUUAUGUGGAUUAGUAUUGGUGUGAAUUGGUCCAUAAAUUUGCCUGGUCGUUCUUCUUUGGAUAUUCCUUUUAUGAAUCUGGUGUCCACUGAUAGUCCGACUUUGGAUUAAGUGUCCGAUUCCACAUUUAUUUUGGUUAUUGAGUUUUGGAUUCCUUUGGUAUGUUCAGUAUUGGUAUUAUUUGGCAUUGGUGAGAAUUGUUCCCUAAAUCUUCCUGAUUGUUCUUCUCUGGAUAUACUAUUAUGAAUCUGGUGUCCAUUGUUAGUUCAAUUUUGGAUUGGGUGUUCAAUUCUUUACUUAUUUUAGUUACUGAUUUUUUUUAUUCACUUUGAUAUAUUUACUUGUGAUAUGGUUCGAAUUGGCUCACACCUUUUCAUGGUUGUUCCGUCCUUGGAUAUAUCCUUUAUAAAUCUGAUGUCCAUGGAUAGUUCAAUUUUGGUUUGGUGCCCAAUUCGACACUUAGCAUUAUUAUGAACUUUAGUGCAAUAUUUAGUUCUGUUUUGACUUUUAAGCAAUAUUAUGUCAAUAUUUGGUAGCAGAGAGUAACAUAGUAACAUUUUAGUAUGAGUUUGAGUCAUGUAUUGAUUUAUUUUUCCUUGACCAUUAGUUUAUGCUUAGUGGUAACCUUGCGAAUAAACGUGGAUUGUUAGACUAUUGUAAAUUUAGUUGUUAAUAUUUUGAGGUUUAAAAAAAAAUUUGAUAAAUUUUUUUUCCCGAGUAGAAGGGGAUUGUAACGGUCACGUUACUAACUUAACUCUUUAAUUAUUUUUAUAAUUAUUUUCCUUCGCUCUCCCAUUUAAAUUCUCUAAUUCCUCGUAUAGGACCACUGACGUGACGUCAUACCUCGGUGAUGGAACAUACUCCACCUAUCGAGAAUUAUUUCGCGUUCGGUGAGUUUGACGUCGUACUCUUGGAAGGAGAGACGAAUGUUCAUCACUUGACCUGUGGCUGUAGGUGAAGUUGGUUGCUACCAUAGAAUAUUAGAAUGGCGGUUGGUUUUUUAUUUUAUAACAUCAGUGAAAAGGAAAAAAAUUACCACAAAUGGUUUUCUACAGUAGGGUGGCAUGUGGGUAGAACAACCCCUCUUGGAAUCGGAAUAGAAAUCACCGCCAUUUUGGAGUAACCACAUGGUGAACUCAUAGCCCUUUGACACCUAGGGAAACCACUACAGCCACAGUCAAGUCACCUUGGGAAUAUGUCUAAUUGGGAGCAAGCUAUGGGAGCGUUCCAGCUCAAUUUUCGUCUUGGCACCUGGGCCUACAGGAGUCAUGGGGUCGCACCAUCCUGGUGCAUCAUUUUCUAGGAUGCAACCGCAACCUCGUUUGGGAACAUUUAGUGAGGUGUUUUAGUAACUAUUGGUUUUUUUUAUAUUUCAGACUAUCUGUUAAAUACACUAUGUUUUUUUUCCAGAUUUAGGUUACCUCUGGUUUUUUUGACAUAUUUGUAUAUUAGAUUAUUUGGUUCCCAAACUUUGUAUCUACGGUAACUUCUUGUGCACAGGAAUAAGCCUAGAGAAAAUUAGGUUUUUAAUACUUUAUUAUUGGUUUAUGUAAUUCGGGUAAAGGGUACCCCCCGUUAAGAUAGGCAAAAUGCCCUCACUCCCAGAAUUCAAUUUUAUAAUUUUUUUUAC
rnacentral:lncRNA from 1 species